UGGAGGCAGCAGUGGGGAAUUUUGCGCAAUAGGGGAAACCCUGACGCAGCAACGCCGCGUGAGUGAAGAAGGCCUUCGGGUCGUAAAGCUCUGUCAAGUGGGAAAAAUUCAACCGGUGAAUAGCCGGUUGGCCUGAUGGUACCACUAGAGGAAGCACCGGCUAACUCCGUGCCAGCAGCCGCGGUAAUACGGAGGGUGCAAGCGUUGUUCGGAAUUACUGGGCGUAAAGCGCGUGUAGGCGGUUUGGUAAGUCAGAUGUGAAAGCCCUGGGCUUAACUCAGGAAGUGCAUUUGAAACUGCCUUACUCGAGUAUGGGAGAGGAGAGUGGAAUUCCCAGUGUAGAGGUGAAAUUCGUAGAUAUUGGGAGGAACACCCGUGGCGAAGGCGACUCUCUGGACCAAUACUGACGCUGAGACGCGAAAGCGUGGGGAGCAAACAGGAUUAGAUACCCUGGUAGC
rnacentral:rRNA from 1 species